UGGUGGAGUGAUUUGUCUGGUUAAUUCCGAUAACGAACGAGACCUUGACCUGCUAACUAGGGUGACUCUGGAAUUUUAUGUUCCAGGGAGGGCGUCAGGGUCAAACCUGAUGCGCACACCCUUCUUAGAGGGACUAUCUGCGACUAACAGAUGGAAGUUUGAGGCAAUAACA
rnacentral:rRNA from 1 species